rnacentral:rRNA from 1 species
CACGGAGUUAGCCGAUCCUUAUUCCUUCGGUACAUUCAGCUAUCUACACGUAAAUAGGUUUAUUCCCGAAUAAAAGCAGUUUACGACCCAGAGGGCUGUCUUCCUGCACGCGGCAUGGCUGGUUCAGAGUUGCCUCCAUUGACCAAUAUUCCUUACUGCUGCCUCCCGUAGGAGUCUGGUCCGUGUCUCAGUACCAGUGUGGGGGGUUCAUCCUCUCAGAUCCCCUAGUCAUCGUCGCCUUGGUGGGCCGUUACCCCGCCAACUAGCUAAUGACACGCAUGCCCAUCUUAAUCCCUAUAAAUAUUUGAACAUUGGAUAAUGCUAUCCUGUGUUUUUAUGCGGUGUUAAUCCGAAUUUCUUCGGGCUAUCCCCCUGAUUAAGGUAGGUUGCAUACGCGUUACGCACCCGUGCGCCACUUUUCGUCGGAGCAAGCCCCGACUAUCGUUCGACUUGCAUGUAUUAGGCCUGCCGCUAGCGUUCACCCGUGAGCCAGGAUCAAACUC